GGGGAUAUAGCUCAAGUGGUAGAGCACAUGCUUAGCAUACACAAGGUCCUGGGUUCAAUCCCCAGUACCUCCU
rnacentral:tRNA from 1 species